AGAGUUUGAUCAUGGCUCAGAUUGAACGCUGGCGGCAGGCCUAACACAUGCAAGUCGAACGGUAACAGGAAGCAGCUUGCUGCUUCGCUGACGAGUGGCGGACGGGUGAGUAAUGUCUGGGAAGCUGCCUGAUGGAGGGGGAUAACUACUGGAAACGGUAGCUAAUACCGCAUAAUGUCGCAAGACCAAAGAGGGGGACCUUCGGGCCUCUUGCCAUCGGAUGUGCCCAGAUGGGAUUAGCUUGUUGGUGGGGUAACGGCUCACCAAGGCGACGAUCCCUAGCUGGUCUGAGAGGAUGACCAGCCACACUGGAACUGAGACACGGUCCAGACUCCUACGGGAGGCAGCAGUGGGGAAUAUUGCACAAUGGGCGCAAGCCUGAUGCAGCCAUGCCGCGUGUAUGAAGAAGGCCUUCGGGUUGUAAAGUACUUUCAGCGGGGAGGAAGGGAGUAAAGUUAAUACCUUUGCUCAUUGACGUUACCCGCAGAAGAAGCACCGGCUAACUCCGUGCCAGCAGCCGCGGUAAUACGGAGGGUGCAAGCGUUAAUCGGAAUUACUGGCGUAAAGCGCACGCAGGCGGUUUGUUAAGUCAGAUGUGAAAUCCCCGGGCUCAACCUGGGAACUGCAUCUGAUACUGGCAAGCUUGAGUCUCGUAGAGGGGGGUAGAAUUCCAGGUGUAGCGGUGAAAUGCGUAGAGAUCUGGAGGAAUACCGGUGGCGAAGGCGGCCCCCUGGACGAAGACUGACGCUCAGGUGCGAAAGCGUGGGGAGCAAACAGGAUUAGAUACCCUGGUAGUCCACGCCGUAAACGAUGUCGACUUGGAGGUUGUGCCCUUGAGGCGUGGCUUCCGGAGCUAACGCGUUAAGUCGACCGCCUGGGGAGUACGGCCGCAAGGUUAAAACUCAAAUGAAUUGACGGGGGCCCGCACAAGCGGUGGAGCAUGUGGUUUAAUUCGAUGCAACGCGAAGAACCUUACCUGGUCUUGACAUCCACGGAAGUUUUCAGAGAUGAGAAUGUGCCUUCGGGAACCGUGAGACAGGUGCUGCAUGGCUGUCGUCAGCUCGUGUUGUGAAAUGUUGGGUUAAGUCCCGCAACGAGCGCAACCCUUAUCCUUUGUUGCCAGCGGUCCGGCCGGGAACUCAAAGGAGACUGCCAGUGAUAAACUGGAGGAAGGUGGGGAUGACGUCAAGUCAUCAUGGCCCUUACGACCAGGGCUACACACGUGCUACAGUGGCGCAUACAAAGAGAAGCGACCUCGCGAGAGCAAGCGGACCUCAUAAAGUGCGUCGUAGUCCGGAUUGGAGUCUGCAACUCGACUCCAUGAAGUCGGAAUCGCUAGUAAUCGUGGAUCAGAAUGCCACGGUGAAUACGUUCCCGGGCCUUGUACACACCGCCCGUCACACCAUGGGAGUGGGUUGCAAAAGAAGUAGGUAGCUUAACCUUCGGGAGGGCGCUUACCACUUUGUGAUUCAUGACUGGGGUGAAGUCGUAACAAGGUA
rnacentral:rRNA from 1 species